CCCUGUGCUGUUUGUGUGCUAUUUUAAUUCGCUUAUGAAAAGCCCCCGCUUUGAUGUCCGGGACCAGAUAAGGCCGGGAGGGGACCCUCCAUGGAGAGCGGGACUGUGCCGCCCGCGGUCGCUGCACUGGGCCUCCUCGCCCCCCCACUCCGGGCCCGGGGCCAGCGCGAUGUCAUGAGUGGCCACCUUCCCUGCCCACCAUGCCUCCUGGCCCCCAAUCCGGUCACCAACUUGAGGCUGCCCCUGACAAGCCCUGGCUGCAGCAUGAGGGAAGCAGCGGUAGAGAAGGCCAAGUUUGGGCACCUUGCACAGCCUCCUGGAGCCUCGGUUUCCACAUCUAAAAUUCCAACAGUACAGAAAGGUCUGAAAUGAAAG
rnacentral:lncRNA from 10 species